rnacentral:tRNA from 3 species
GCAAUGUUCGUCUAGGGGUUAGGACGUUAGGUUUUCAGCCUAAAAACACCAGUUCGAUUCUGGUACAUUGUA